UACGGGGGGGGGAAGCGUUGUUCGGAAUUACUGGGCGUAAAGGGCUCGUAGGCGGCCAACUAAGUCAGACGUGAAAUCCCUCAGCUUAACUGGGGAACUGCGUCUGAUACUGGAUGGCUUGGAUUCGGGAGAGGAAUGCGGAAUUCCAGGUGUAGCGGUGAAAUGCGUAGAGAUCAUGAGGAAGACCAGUGGCGAAGGCGGCUAGCUGGCCUGUAACUGACGCUGAGGCGCGAAGGCUAGGGGAGCGAACAGG
rnacentral:rRNA from 1 species